rnacentral:rRNA from 1 species
AUUGAACGCUGGCGGCAGGCCUAACACAUGCAAGUCGAGCGGUAGAGAGGUGCUUGCAUCUCUUGAGAGCGGCGGACGGGUGAGUAAUGCCUAGGAAUCUGCCUAGUGGUGGGGGAUAACGUUCGGAAACGGACGCUAAUACCGCAUACGUCCUACGGGAGAAAGCGGGGGAUCUUCGGACCUCGCGCCAUUAGAUGAGCCUAGGUCGGAUUAGCUAGUUGGUGAGGUAAUGGCUCACCAAGGCGACGAUCCGUAACUGGUCUGAGAGGAUGAUCAGUCACACUGGAACUGAGACACGGUCCAGACUCCUACGGGAGGCAGCAGUGGGGAAUAUUGGACAAUGGGCGAAAGCCUGAUCCAGCCAUGCCGCGUGUGUGAAGAAGGUCUUCGGAUUGUAAAGCACUUUAAGUUGGGAGGAAGGGUCGUAACCUAAUACGUUGCGGCUUUGACGUUACCGACAGAAUAAGCACCGGCUAACUUCGUGCCAGCCGCCGCCGUAAAAC